AUUAGAGUGUUUCAAGCAGACUUGUGUCUUGAAUACUUCAGCAUGGAAUAAUAAAGUAGGACUUUGGUUCUAUUUUGUUGGUUUGUGAACCUUAGUAAUGGUUAAUAGGAACGGUUGGGGGCAUUCGUAUUUAACUGUCAGAGGUGAAAUUUUUAGAUUUGUUAAAGACGAACUACUGCGAA
rnacentral:rRNA from 1 species